UACGGGGGGGGCAAGCGUUGUUCGGAAUUACUGGGCGUAAAGGGCUCGUAGGUGGCCAACUAAGUCAUACGUGAAAUCCCUCGGCUUAACCGGGGAACUGCGCCUGAUACUGGUUGGCUUGAGUUUGGGAGAGGGACGCGGAAUUCCAGGUGUAGCGGUGAAAUGCGUAGAUAUCUGGAGGAACACCGGUGGCGAAGGCGGCGUCCUGGACCGAGAUUGACACUGAUGAGCGAAAGCCAGGGGAGCAAACGGG
rnacentral:rRNA from 1 species